ensembl:lncRNA
GCAGUGCUACUCUCUGAAGAGAUACAAUCGGUUCUACCGUUUGUGCUUAGGAGUUAGGAGUCUAAAUCAGAUGCAGGCAGCUUUGAAGCACCAGUUUUCUCAAGAAUAUCCCUUGCUUUGUCCUAUCUUGAAAACUGAAUUGUUUAGCUAUUAAAAGAGAUUAAUGUAAUCUCUAUGUCUAUGAAAUUGGAUUUUGAAACUGCUUGCUCACUGUACUACCGUGAGCGCUGUGAAUAAAGCCUCUGCUCCUGCUCGUGUUGCUACAAACUGUGGGUCACACCUUGUACGGGCCAAGAGCGUGUUGGCAUCACACAAGGGCAAAGUGACAAUAUGAGAGGCCACAGAGCCAGGCUGGAGUCUGGGGGAUCAGAAUGGACAUUAGGAAGGCAUCUCUCAGAGAGAGGAACUCCCCACCCCCGGGACUUUGAAGAUUUGGCCUGACAGUGCCAAGGCUGACCUGACCUGGAGCCGUGAUGCUGUGCUUAGAGGAGCCUCAACAAGCUUGGGACCUUCAGAGGUCCCAUCCCACCAACACCGCUGUGACUGGUGCUUUUCCUAGUUUAAAGGAGCUGAAUGCUGUUGAGCUCUGUGGAUCUGUAUCCUUGUAAGCUACCUAAGGAGCUGAAAUCCCUGUAAGACCAUUUAGAAGACACCUCAGAAAAAUGGUUUCUGGUUUGGAAACCAUUUUGCUUCAGCAUUCAGCCUUGGUUUACUACAGAAAGCUCUGGAAAAAAAAAAUCCCCCAACUUUGCUGGCAGUACCAGAUCUCAGGGCAUUUCCACAUCUUGCAUGAGGCCAUGGUGGCCACAGCUGGGCUCUGGGAAGACAAACAUAGAUAAACAGCAAAGUGGUACCAGCGGGAUGAAGAAUAGCACCGAGUCAAAGCAAUAGGCUUCUGACAUACAUGCAUCGCUACACUGCCCAGUGGCAUAAACAUUCUCCAUCAUCUUCUCCUCUCUAGGAAGGAACGUGCUAUAAGAGGUGGGGAUGAUCACCUAUCCCAUUCAGGGCUGCCUGCGAGAUACACCAUGGGAUCCCCAGAAUAGCAUCUCUGGGCUGUACUCUAAGGAGGACAUUGAGACACAGCAGCUGGAAAUCUACGUUUUUUCCUGACUUUCCCUUGAAGUAUCCUUGGCUUGAGAAGCACCCUGGCAGGAACAAGUUUGUUGUUAAUGACCAAUUACUCCAGGAUGGUGGAGGAGUGGUGCUUUUUGGUACAUGGAGAAGGGCAGAAGAAGUCAAAUGAGCAGGUGCUUGUCUUGAUGCAGCUGGUAGACUGCAGAAAUGGCUACACGACUGAUGGGAGUGCUAGUACAAUAUGGAGGGCCCUACACUCUGAAGCACCACAGGCGCAGUCAGAGCCACCACCAGCAGUAAACUAUCCAACACCGAUGGAAGGGACAAAAAAUGGUCAAUGUUGCCACUAUUUUCAGGAAGAAAAAAAGAUUGCAUUUUCCUUUUCUUUUGGACUUAAUUUUAGAAACUGUUUAUACACAACUUGUUUUGUCUGGUUGGAUGCAUCUUGGGUUACUUUUGUCUGUCCAGUUUUAAGUACUUGACCACUAAUUGCUGUUUCCUUGAUGAAGAGCUUUGCUUUUAGUUUCUGAAUUUCAUACUGAAUUGAGAGCGCUCGUAUGCUGUCCCAAUACUGCUCUCAGUAUGCCUCCAGGGCUCUGAGAUGCCCCCAAGGCCAGACUCAAGCCUCAAAGCAAAUAACAUGGCACAGUUGUGCUGCCUUAGGGCCUCCCAAGGGCACCCCAGAAGCCUGGAUGCCUGUGUUAGUCAUCACCCCAAACUCGGCCCAUACAGAUAGCAGCCCCACAGCCUCUGCUCCCUGUCCCAGGAGAGCUCUCUGUAGCAGCAGUACUGUGGUAGCUGUCUGUGAUGGUCCUACUAACACAGAAUGAAGGGAAAAAAGGGAUGGCAGAAUCAGCAUCACGGAGGAAGAUGCAGAGCAGCCACAGCACCUACAUGCCCUGCAUUUUCAGCUGGCAAGGUGACUGAGGGCUGAUGGGAGCUGCUACAUGUACUAGGCUGUAUGCAUGCUUUAAGAACCCAUUGCUGGGAACUGAGAAGAUUUUAUAUGUAUGUGCAGCUUUACACUGUCUUACUGGUAUCUGAACAUCUGCUGCUACUUAAAAGGCAACCCAGUCCUGACCUACCUACAGAGAAGACCUUGGGUAUUGUUUUUUUUAAAGCAGUGGAUAGGUCAGAAUGCAAAUGCUAUUAAGAAAAGCUCAAGUGAGCAUUUAAUGUUACAUUUGGCUCUACCUGCUUCUGGUGCCACUCUCCUGCCCAUAUCCACCUCUUAUUUCUUAUAGUCAAAACUCUUUGGAGCACGCAUGUUUCAUUCAGUGUCCGGUGCAACAGUCUUAGUUGUGAGUAUUGACUUCUCGGCAGUAACAAUAAUAAUAGCAUUUAAUUAACCGAGUUAUUAGAAUCCCUUUGACAAGAUACCUGGUUAUAUUACUAAUAAAAGCCAUCUGUAAUUCU